AUUGAACGCUGGCGGCAGGCUUAACACAUGCAAGUCGAGCGGGGUGAUGGUGCUUGCACUAUCACUUAGCGGCGGACGGGUGAGUAAUGCUUAGGAAUCUGCCUAUUAGUGGGGGACAACAUCUCGAAAGGGAUGCUAAUACCGCAUACGUCCUACGGGAGAAAGCAGGGGAUCACUUGUGACCUUGCGCUAAUAGAUGAGCCUAAGUCGGAUUAGCUAGUUGGUGGGGUAAAGGCCUACCAAGGCGACGAUCUGUAGCGGGUCUGAGAGGAGGAUCCGCCACACUGGGACGGAAGCCAGGCCCAGCCUCCUACGGGAGGCAGCAGUGGGGAAUAUUGGGAAAGGGGGGGAACCCUGAUCCAGCCAUGCCGCGUGUGUGAAGAAGGCCUUAUGGUUGUAAAGCACUUUAAGCGAGGAGGAGGCUCUUUUGGUUAAUACCCAAGAUGAGUGGACGUUACUCGCAGAAUAAGCACCGGCUAACUCUGUGCCAGCCGCCGCCGUAA
rnacentral:rRNA from 1 species